rnacentral:tRNA from 1 species
GCGGAUAUGGCGGAAUCGGCAGACGCGCUAGAUUCAGGUUCUAGUCGUAGCAAUACGGUGGAGGUUCAAGUCCUCUUAUCCGCACCA